rnacentral:misc_RNA from 1 species
ACCAGAGAGAUCUCCAAUGGAAGUCUCAGUAUGUUCAAUUGGUGCUGUGCUUACGUGGGAGAAAUUUUUCCAUUUGAUUGGUUCGAACCAUCUGCUAUCCUGCUCUUCGGGGCCUUUCCAUUUUGGGGCACCUAUAGCCAUGUGUGAAUCCCAGUGGGGUUGAAGGAUCUUGGGAAGAGAAACCAGAUGCUGCAAAUUGACUGAAAGACGGUUCUGCUUGUCACCUUCUAGGCUGAGCCUGAGCCCAGUCACUGGCUUACGGCCCACUGUCACCUGAUCCGGGCUAAUAUAGAGCUUAGGACCCAUCAAACUGAACUGUAGGGAUAAACAUACAGGCUCCUUUCUUUGAAGGUUA